GACCAAUCGUAGAAGAGUCUCCUUUGAAAUUGCAGGAGAAUUAACGAAUCAGAGAGCGUGCCAGUCGGGGUCCAAGCCGCCCUUACCAGUUAACUAGGUCGGCCCCCUUUCAGCCUCUGUCUCAGUUAGCGUCGCUCCUGCGGGGACGCGUCCACUGUGGAGGCCAGUUCGUUCUCGCCGGAGAAGGCCCUGGUCUGCCUCUCUGGCCUCUCCGCAGUCUCGGCGGCUACCUAUCGAUUUACCUUGGGGCGCCGCCGCCAAGGAAUCCUAACAGGAAGGCCAGGAAUCUGGACCUGAGCUGUGAGUUUUUGCCCCCUCGAAUGUCUGAAUUUGCCCAUCUACGUUUGUGUGUGCUGGAGUAGCAGUGAUCAACCACAAUAUUCGGUAUACAUGUUUGGAUCCAGCAUCUACUGCUGUUGCCACUACUAGGUCAAGCACCAUGCUGUUUACCUCAUUUUCAAAUGCUUCAUCCUCCACUGCUGCUACUGGGAUCUCAUUUGGUUCCCCGACAACUUCGACUGGAACACUUGGUGGUACAACUUUGGGAUUUGGAUUAAAAUUCCCUGGAGCCGGUGGAGCAAUGCCUGUUGCAUCUAGUA
ensembl:lncRNA